GGAUCGUUAGCUCAGUUGGUUAGAAGCAUUCGUCUCAUAAACGAAAGGUCAUCCGUUCAAGUCGGAUACGAUCCA
rnacentral:tRNA from 1 species